AGGGUUUGAUUCUGGCUCAGGACGAACGCUGGCGGCGUGCCUAACACAUGCAAGUCGAACGGAACCAUUGAUUUCGGUUGAUGGUUUAGUGGCGAACGGGUGAGUAACGCGUGAGCAACCUGACCCUUUGAGGGGGAUAACACCUGGAAACAAGUGCUAAUACCGCAUAAGACCACGGAGCGGCAUCGCUCAGGGGUCAAAGGAGGAAUCCGCAGAGGGAGGGGCUCGCGUCCCAUUAGAUAGUAGGCGGGGUAAAGGCCCACCUAGUCGACGAUGGGUAGCCGAGCUGAGAGGCUGAUCGGCCACACUGGAACUGAGACACGGUCCAG
rnacentral:rRNA from 1 species